UACGGGGGGGGCAAGCGUUGUUCGGAAUUACUGGGCGUAAAGGGCUCGUAGGCGGCCAACUAAGUCAUACGUGAAAUCCCUCGGCUUAACCGGGGAACUGCGUCUGAUACUGGAUGGCUUGAGAUUGGGAGAGGGAUGCGGAAUUCCAGGUGUAGCGGUGAAAUGCGUAGAUAUCUGGAGGAAUACCGGUGGCGAAGGCGGCAUCCUGGACCGAGAUUGACACUGAUGAGCGAAAGCUAGGGGAGCAAACGGG
rnacentral:rRNA from 1 species